rnacentral:rRNA from 1 species
GAUGAACGCUGGCGGCGUGCCUAAUACAUGCAAGUCGAGCGAACGGACGAGAAGCUUGCUUCUCUGAUGUUAGCGGCGGACGGGUGAGUAACACGUGGAUAACCUACCUAUAAGACUGGGAUAACUUCGGGAAACCGGAGCUAAUACCGGAUAAUAUUUUGAACCGCAUGGUUCAAAAGUGAAAGACGGUCUUGCUGUCACUUAUAGAUGGAUCCGCGCUGCAUUAGCUAGUUGGUAAGGUAACGGCUUACCAAGGCAACGAUGCAUAGCCGACCUGAGAGGGGAUACGGCAAAGAGGAAACGGAAAAACGGCCAAAACACCUAGGGAAGGAGAAGGAGGGAAACUUUCCACAAGGGGGAAAGGCUGGAGGAAGCAAGGCGGGGGAGGGAAGAAGGGAUUCCGAUUGGAAAAACCCGGUAAUAAGGAAGAAAAUAAUGGGAAAGAAAAGGUCAAAACCUGAAGGGAACUAAAUCAAAAGCCACGGCUAACUACGUG